rnacentral:rRNA from 1 species
AACGAGGGAGCAAGCGUUAUUCAUCAUGUACUGGGCGUAAAGUGUUCGUAGCGGUCCAUUGUUUGUUUAGGUUAACAAUUAAUAGUUUUUCUGGUUUGAAUCUAAAGGUGAGCUCAGCGUAGUUUACACUAUAGUUACCAUUACAUACUGAUGGGGGAUUUUUCCUUAUACAAGCGUUUUCGAACUUUUUGUAUAACUUUGGGUCUUGUAGAAGAUGCGGUACUCUCAGUCUAGAGUGACAUUUCAUGCAGAUUGAUUGGGGACCAACGGUGGCGAAAGCAGCUGUCUAUGCAUGUACUGACGCUAAUGAACGAAAGCAUGGGAGCAAACAGG